AAAACCAACCUUCCGACGGUUGGUUAACACUCCUCGACAGUUGAGAUAGGGUUUUCAUCAUUAUUCAUUUGGUGGCUAAAUAUUACUCAUGGGACGUUUCUAGAGAAUGCAAGACCAUGUUUGAGUGAGAAAUUGGUCUCGAUGAAAUUGAGAGUUCAAUGAACAGCACAUACAAUGCAAGUAAAUCUACCUACUCAAACCCAUCUUCUAUUUCUAAAGCAGAAGGGCUUUCGGUGGCUGCAACAAGUGAGUGACUAAGUUUUUUAUCACCCGUAUUAUUUGUUAUCACUAGGAAAAGAAAGCUGAGUAGAAAAAGUAGAAUGCCAAAUGGAAAAAAAAAAAGAUUUAGUAA